rnacentral:lncRNA from 1 species
UAGGAAACCAAUAUAAUAUACAUUUAAAAAAUAUCACAAAUAUAUUAGCAUUUGUAAAAUGACAGAUAUAAUAAUAUUUCCGAGUACUAAUAUUUAGAUACGAUAUCAAGCUAAGAACUACUUUAAUCUAAGCUAUCAUAAGAACUACUCUUUCGGUAAUCUAGACUUCUCUGACACACCCCUGCGGGAGUACCGUGGGACACCGUGAGACAUCGUGGGACAUCGCAAGAACAUCGUGGUAUAGAUUAUCAAGAUGAAGAAAGAAUUAUCUGGCCGGAAGUUGAAGCAAACAACUUUUUGACACGAAAACAAUAUUCCACGCAACAAAACAACGAAUUUGAUAGCAGUAACGUUUUUUUCCAAUACUAAAUUCGACAUGCAGAGUUGGAAGGAAAUGUUUACUGGUAUAUUGUACUAAUAUUGGACCUUUAUGUACAUUGGCAUGACAUUUUCAUAAAAUUAUUUACUGUACCAAGUAUUUGUGGGAAAAGAAACAUAAUUUUGUUAGUAUGUUUCUAUACAAUCAGUGGGGGAAUACCUAUUAUUUUGUGAGAGAUAAGUGUGUUAUAGUUAUAGUUAUAAGGCAAAUUUUAAAGAAACAUUAAAAUGUGAAUUUCAAUAUGACAAGUUAUCGUAAUUAAUGUUAUUGUAAAUUACAUAAUAUGAUGGAAACAUACAGUGAGAAAAAUAUGUUUUCACUUUUUGUUAAUGAAAUUGUUAUAUUUACUUCAUAUUGAUUCACCUGUAAGCACAUUAACUAUAGUUAAAGGCUUAUCGACUAACAACUCACGUUUUAAAAAUAAUGUACUCCUUUAAUGAUUGUUUAAUAAUUGUAUAUUCAUAGAUUUAUGCUUACAAGAUCUUCAACUCUCGGUAAUAAUGACCAUAUUUGUAGUAAAGGUUCCGUAUCCAAAAGCUACUGAUAAAUGUUUAUAGUUUCAUAGUCACAUAUAGUUAUUAUAUUAUAUAUGUAUAGAGCGUUAAAAGAAUGUAUUUUUUUAUAAUCUCCACCUAAAUUGUACGCUAUGAAUAGGAGGAAAUGUAAUUUUUAAACAGUAACAUGUAAAUAAUUUAUUGAUAUUUACCAGAAAUAUAUCUUAAACACAAUAAAAGGAAUGCAUAAUAUUAGUAUUAUUUCAAUUAAUUACGUCGAAUAAAAGUUUCACGUGUUAAAGGCUUCCGGUCAAAUAUAAUAAUGUUUCGAAUACAUUUCUACAUUUCUUUUCGUAAAUUUCUAUUUAUAACAUGACAGUAAAGCUAGAUAUCGUAUAGGAAACAUACAUUUUUGCGUUUUCUUCUUCUUUUCCAUUAUUUUACUUCGUACGAAAUGCGACUAAUUACAUAAUUCAAUUUUAUGACAGGGAAGAGGGAGUCUACAAAUUUCUAUAUAGGAUGACUCAUUAAAGAAAAUAAUAUCAAAUUUGUAAGUAUAUAUAAUCCUAGAGGGUAUCACAUUAAUUUACAACCGAAACUGUGAUUCAAUAUUUGGCACGAUGAUUUGUUUGCUUUAAUUUUUGUAUAAUAAUGACACGAGUACUUUAUGUAAUUUUCAAAAUUAUUAGUGUUAAUUAGUCCUUACUUUAGGAUAGAGUUCCACAUCACACAGUCUUUCGCACCUUAUUCGUAUUGGUCAAGCAGUUACCUAUUCCUUUAUUCUUAAAUACAUAUACAAUAUUUACAUGAUCUUCAUAAACAUUCUUCCUUCACUUUUUCAAGGCAAUGAUUGUGGGAGAUAAAACUAUACGAAGAAAUUUUCCUCUUCUGGUCUGUCAUAAGAUUUUGUGUACAGUAAUCUUUAUAUAGAAAUAAAUCGAAAGUGAAAAAUUAUUAUCUUGGAGACUUAAAGUAUGAUAAUUUACGAAAAUAUGUUCAAAUUGUAAAAUGAAGAUAAAUUAAUUUCUGAGUCGUCUUACAUGCAUAAAAGGUAUUUGAUUUUGCUAAAUUUAAGUUAGAGGGCUAAACGAAAGUUGCUUUAAUAAUUUAAUAUAGACAAUAAAGAAGAAAUUUAUAACCAGAAAUUAUUUAUUGCGAAAAGAAUUGAAUGCAAAAUGCAACAUAAAGCUUAUGUAUAUAGGAUACUUUCUCGGUUAAAAAAAGAUGAUAAAUAAUUAAUUUCAUUAUCAACAAUAUGGAUGUACUUUCAUUUAAAAAUCCUGUACACGAUAAAAUCGUGAAAUCGAUGUGUAUUUAGAUUUGAAAUGGAAUAUUUUCUCUACUCAAUUUGAAAUAAAUCAAAUUUUCUUCCUUUUCUUCUACCAAAUUUGAUACAGGUUCAAAUAUCAUAUUGUACAUUAUUUAGAUGUUCCUAAAGCUAUCAUAAAUUUCAGCAUAAGUUUCGCUAGUAUCAUCGUUAAUUUUGACAUUGUUCCACUUUUAAUACACGAUAAUUAAUUUAUUAGGUUUCCUAUCAAAACAUAAAAAGCAGUAACACUUAUAGCAUUUCAGCAAAUACAGACCAAUUUACGAUACAAAGAGGAUGUACCACAUGUACAGAGGAUUAUGAAAAAUCAAUUUAUUCUUUUCAAACAUCUAGUACCGAUUGCGAAUCGUUGAUUCAUAAAAAAUGAGUAUACAUAAAUAUUUGGCUGACAUAAAAAGUACAUGUAAUCCUAUCAUGUAAUAUGUUUAUGUAGUUUGUAUUUUAAAGCACAGAAAAUUAAUGUUUCUCUGUUGGCCAUUGCAGCGACCGCUUUUUUUAUAACAUUGUGGAAAAAUGCACAAUACAUAUUAACGGUCGACGUGUUGGAGUUACACCAUACUUGACUACUACAAA